UUCCUGCUCUGCUGGGCUCGUUUACUCGCACACUCCCUCACCGCCUCCUGGAAGCCUUUCACCCACAGCCAUAAAAGGAGAGAGCCACUUCUUUGGGUGCAGAAGUUUUCCUGUCUCCAGGAAACUCUCACUGGGAUGUUGGAUGUUUGGAAAGAAUCAGUGAAAGAGUCUGGUUGAGCCUUCAGGGCUCUAUUCACAGCCCGCUUUCACUUCCUGUUCCAUUGUGAGCGGUCUGAGGAGGAGGAGCUCCAGGACUCUGUGGACUCUGUGGACUCUGAGGACUCUGAGGACUUCUGGACACAAGCGGACCAGGCUAGUGGGCUACAAUGGAAACCGCUAACUGAUGCAGCUUUUUAAGGCUUCAAAGUGUGAUUAUUUUAGAACAAUGAAUCAAUCAAUCAAUCAAUCAAUCAAUCAAUCAGCAACUAUUUUAAUGAUCAACUUUUUAAAAGCAGAUUGUGAUGAUUGUGGCGUUUUAGACGUUUUUAUUGAUAUAAACUGAAUGUCUGAGUUUUGGAAUAUUGGUCAAACUAAACGUUUGAAGACUAUUUUCUGUUUAUGGACAAAUCUAAUAUAGAUUAUCACUUAAUAAUAAUUUAAAUAAUAAUUAGUUAUAGCUAUAAAUUCAUUCAUUAUUUUCUUACUCAACCAUUUUAACUUAUGUACUUUAUGUGUUGUGUCUUUGAGUAUCAUAAAAUAUAAAUAAAAUGUAUUAUUAUUUCUAAUUUCACCAAUGCUGUGGACCAAAGUUCAGCUGAUGAGCUGCAGUGUUGUGAGGAUCUUAAAGGCGGACCACGCAGGAGUCGGUUGCUGUCUGUCAACUCAAACAGCCCCGCACAGACAGACAGACAGACAGACAGACAGUGGUGUAACCCAGAGUCCUGAACUCAAAGCCUGCACACAGCAAAAGCAGAAAAUACAGGCAGAGGCUGCAGCGUCUCCGCAGACACACACACACCGUCAAACAGACCGUCACACACACACACACCGUCACACACUUGUAGAGGCACAAUAUGUCUGUCACCAGGGACGGUGAUACACUAACUGCCAGAGUUGUAAAAUGUUUAUCGGACACUGAAACAGUGCAGUCUGGUCCUGGAUCACGUUUCAUUGUGUCACCAGGAGCUGAACAUCUGGGUCAGCACUCUUUAGGAAUCAUAUUUAAGGAUUAAUCUGGUGUUGUAAACGCUCUCUUCUCUGAAACAGGAUGGGGGGAACGGACUCUGGGGACGUUGUUGUGUCAAAAUAAAGUUAAAUUAUUAGUGCGAAAUAGGGGUGGGCGAUAUGGGCAAAAAAUAAUAUCUCAAUAUUUUUGGGGAUUUUGGCGAUAUCGAUAAUCAGUCGAUAUCCUUUAAAAUGUGAUUAGAAUUGUCUGAGCUGGACUUGUGUCCACCAAACGCGUUUACAGCGCUGAGAGAGCUCAAAAACUCAUUUUCCAAGCGCCCAGCGGUGUUAAAAGUUGAACAGAUUUCAACUUGAAGCGCUCUGAGCGCUGCGCUGACAUCUUUUUACCGCUGAAGGCGCUUAGCGCUCUGAACGCUGAAGCCCAUAGGACCCACGUCUCGGCACUAAAUCAUCUGAAGUACCGGUAGCUUCAGGGACUGGAGGUGUUUGCAUUUUCUCUCUACCAUCACAACGCGCUGCUAAACUGUUGCAAGGAGGAUGCUAGCGAGAGGUCACGUGAUCACGUCAUGUGAUCACGUAGGCCCACUAGUCAUGUGACUGAAUCCUGCCAUGCUGUAGAGAGCGCUGCUGUACCGUGUAUUAAUGGAUGUGAGGAGUUUCCGCGGGCGUUUCAUUGUUUUUGUCGAAGUAAUUUAAAUACUCGAUAAUGGAAAUUUGCACAUCGUCAAAACAACAAUGACGAUAUUAUCGCAAACGAUAUAUAUCGCCCACCUCUAGUGCAAAACAAUAAAAACUGCUCUACUAUGAUCAGACUUAUCUACCAGACCAACCCUCUCUCCGUGCUGCCUGCGUCACAUUCAGUUUAAAUAUUUACAAUCUUCAGCCUAAAAUAGAAAUGUGUCUCUUUAGAGCUGCACACAAAGCUGAGAGAGGACGAAGACAGAAAGCAGUGAGGAGUGUCAGUCAGCAUCCGUCUGCAGAGUCACUCUCUCUCCAUAUUGAUGAGGGCCGAUCCUGUCUCUCCUUUCACUGAUGCCUCUCUGAGCUGGGACCAAAAUCUGCUCAUCACAUGCAACCCCACAGAGUGGCUGUGAACCGGGUUGCACCGGCGGCCGCACCCAGAACAACAGAUCACAUGUGAGCCCAAAUCAGCUUACGUCUCAGUGAGGCAGAAUAACCACAGAAGAGAGAACUGGUGUUCCUGGCUGUAAGAGAUGUGAGACGCCAUCCUGUGUGACCUUUCAAACGGAGUCAGAAACCAGAGCUCCACCACCUCCCGGCUGCUCCACUAAUAGUCCUCAGCUCAGGUUCCAGGUGCUGCUGACUGAGGUGGAGCAUUUAAAGGGGUUCAUGGAAAACCAGGGGCGGCAGCAGUGCGGCGUGUUGAGGGUGGCAGACAGUGAGCAGCGUGAAUGGAUCCGAGGGGAGAAGAGGCCAGCAGCUCAGCCUGAGGAUUAACACUGCAGUGUGUUCAAACACAGAGGAUCAACCACGUCACACUACCGACUCCGAGGACCAGAAACAGACAGACUCACACCGACAGCCAGCAGACUCCAUUUCAUGCCUCUUACAUCGUGUGUGUCUGCACGUACACACACACCAGCUGAGGAACCUGAGGCGGUCAGCUGUGCGUCCACGCGUCUGCAGUCAUGAUCUUAAGUUCAUCACUCGGGCCUCAUUUAUAGAAACGUUCUUAGACUUUUACUUGGACUCUGAAGAUCAUUUCUUAAGACAGUUCUACGCAGUCCCUCUGUAACGUACACACCUGUGAUCAGUGGUUUAUUCUUUUCAGUAAACUUAUUUUAGUGAGAAAUGAUGAUUAUAUUGAAGUAGUCUGCCUCUCAUUCCCCCCAAUAAACAGAGCUUUAUAGUGAGAGAGCAGCAUAUAUAUUACAUUCAGAUAUAUUACUGUAUCGUUAAAGAACAUUUUCCUGCUGUAAUCUUUCUCUUUUAGCUCUAACUCAGCGCCGUGAUCACACUGUUCAUGAAGUAAGAGUUUAUAAAGAACUACUCAUACGUGGUGAAUCAUUAAGAUCCAAAAUUGAUCUGAAGCUCGUUUUAUAAAUGCGGCCCCAGGCCUUUAGACCUGACUGGAUCUGGACUCACAGAAGGGAUCACAGCGUGGGCAGAACAGCGCUGAGACAGCUGGGCUGUAGAGACUGUGUGAGAUCUCUUACUAGAUAAAAACCAGGAUAUGUGAAAUGGAGCAGAAUCAGCCGGCAGGAUGCGGCUCAGAGACCCAGAUAUCGUGACCAGUCUCUAAAAACACAGCAAAUUAGACUAAUCCCUUCUGAUCAGCAGCUGGACUGCCAGAGAGCCUAGAUCCUCAGGAAUGUGUGGCCUACUUCCACAGCAGAGGAAACGGACCAAAAAUAACUCGGACUGGUCACUCAGCAGGCCUGAAAGUCCAGAUACAGGCCUCACAGUCCAGAUACAGGCCUCACAGUCCAGAUACAGGCCUCACAGUCCAGAUACAGGCCUCACAGUCCAGAUGCAGGCCUCACAGUCCAGAUGCAGACCUCAGAGUCCAGAUGCAGGCCUCAGAGUCCAGAUGCAGGCCUCACAGUCCAGAUGCAGACCUCAGAGUCCAGAUACAGGCCUCAGAGUCCAGAUACAGACCUUUGAGGAUUUAAAAUGAUCUUCUGCUUAUUUAAAUUCCAAAGAUUCAGUAUUUUACCAGGAACUGUAUCCAGUGCAGAAAAAACUCUGAGAGCAUUAAAACCAUGUGGCAGAAUAGAUCCUCACUAUGGAAACUAAUUAGAUCCAAUAACUGGAUCUUAUUAGCAACUGAGUACAUAUCAGAAGAUUAGAUUGUAUUAUUAUUACGUCAUUUAGGUGGUCACAUUUAAAAAAUAUUAUCAUUUUUCAGGGUUCGUCUUAAAAAGACCAGCGUGAAGGAUUUAGCGAAUGAGCCACAGAACUGAAGCAGGGUCGACCGACGGAGGCCGGCUGAUGACCAGCUGUUCUGACCAGGACUCUGACUCUGGGGAUGAAGACACGGCGGGUUCAGGCAGCGGUUAUUAUUAUUAAAAUAAUAUCAUCAACAUGCUGAGUACUGACUACUAGGCGACUAGGAAAACCUUUAGUCGGGGCAGCCCCAGCAGAAACAUGGCGGACUCCAUCAGAAGAGGACCCGCUCCCUCUGUAGAUACAAACGUCUCAUCGUAAGGUAAAAAACACUAAUGAAAACACACCUAUGGAUAAUACAUUACUGCCAACAGAUCCUCCUCAGUGCUACACUCUGGACCUUUAGGGGACAAAGAUAAAAACAAAUGUGUGAAUGUUGAGAAGCGUUCUGUCAGAUUAAAGUUUAAUCUGAUCUUAAAACAGACGAAACCAACAGGAACUUUCAUUUCUAUUAUUCAGGAAAGCCUGAAUCGCUUCUCAAAUGUCGACUCAAAGCUCUGGGAUUCCCCUGUGUGCGUGUGUGUGUGUGUGUGUGUGUGUGUGUGUGUGUGUGUGUGUGUGUGUGUGUGUGUGUGCUGCAGCUGUUCACAUCUGCUGUGUAAUGAGAUACACUUUCACAACAGAAGCCUUUAUGUUAAUGUGCUAAUCUGUUUUCUCAGACAGAUCUUCCAGGAAAACAAAAGAUUUAACAACUUUUUUCUGUUCUGAGGAAAACUACCCAGCUGCAUCCUGAGGAACUUUCUUUCCUUCCACAGAACUCCUUAAAAUAGAAAGUGGAAUUCUGAGCCAAUUGUGGUGUUUCGUAACCCUGUCAAUCACGGGAAUGCAUGAAUUAUAAUCAUCAGCCUUAUUCAUGUUGAUUCAACAGGCUGCAGCUCCACAACAGGACCUGGUCACCGACAGACCUGACAGCAGCUGAACCUUCAGUCCUGCUUACAGCGACACGUCGGUGACAUUUCAGUGUGAGAAACCAGAUCCAAACCACAACCUCAGCAGCGACCUCACAACUUGUGACUCACUUCAGACAACCUGGAGAUGGUUACAGACCAACUGCAGCACUUCUGGUGGACUGACGAGCAUUGUCUAGAACGGGUGUGAUCACCAGCGGCCACGGCCCCGUAAUACAAGAAAGUCUGUGACCAGGGAGGAAGCCAUUUUUUCCUGCUACACAUGAGCCAAAAAGCAAGCCCCGCCCAACUCGCUGUACAUCCCCACUCAAGU